AGGAGACAUAUCUCAGCCUUCAACCCCUGUAACCAGCUACCUUGGAAGUCAGUUUUUCAACAAUAACAUCAGAGAUAUCGACGAGGUGAGUGCAAUCAACAAUAUCAACGCUAUGCUGGCUCAAGCAACUUCUUCUAUCAGAAAUCAAAAUGAACCGUUUUUACCAGGUUUAAAUACUGUACAAAGUGAAGAACAAAAACGUCAACAAAUGCAACUUUUAGAACAGGUAA